rnacentral:rRNA from 1 species
AACGUAGGUGGCGAGCGUUAUCCGGAUUUGCUGGGCGUAAAGGGUGUGCAGGCGGGCUGUUAAGUGGUGUAUGAAAUAUCCCGGCUCAACCGGGAGAGGUUAUGCCAGACUGGCAGUCUAGAGAGCGAGAGAGGGACGUGGAAUUCCCGGUGUAGUGGUGAAAUGCGUAGAUAUCGGGAGGAACACCAGUGGCGAAGGCGACUACCUGGCCUGUUCUUGACGCUGAGGCGCGAAAGCUAGGGGAGCAAACGGG